GCGAGCAAAGCACCCGUCCUGAAGGCCUAGAGGGUGCCCCCUGUGCCCCGCGGCUCCCCAGCACCUGCUUCUCGUUUCACAUCUUGAAGGAAGCACACUAUUCUGGAUGCUUGCAGAAGUCUUCCUGUUUGACUAGAGGAUGACAUGGAAACCCUGGAUCCUAGUCCUGCCUGUUCCCAAGCCAGUGAGGAAACUCCCGGCCAAAUAAAGCCAGUUUCUUUAA